UUUUUUUUGUUUUGUUUUUUUUUUUUUUUUUUCUAAUUUCAUCAAUUUUUUUUUAAUCUUUAGUAGUCAUAUUGACUUUUAUCAAUUUUAAUUUUUGAAAAUAAUGUUUAUAUAUUAUUAAUAUUAUUUAUAUAUAAGUAUAUUAUUAUUAUUAUUAUUUUUUUAAAAGUAAAAUAAAAUAAUACUUGAUAAAAAUAAAGUAUAUUUAAAAAACUUGCUUACAUAUAAGGGAAUAGCUACCAUUAUCACUAAUAGUAGCAUCAACUAUCAGCUAAAUUCUACUAGCUUCAAAAUAAGUUCUAACUUGGCUUGUUUAUUAGCUCCAGCAAAAUGGAGCGUUUUUUUGGUUGGCUUUGGAAAAAAUUACUAUAUCAUGCUAGGAUCAGGUAUCAUAGACAUACAUAUUUACUCUCAUAGUUAUCUAGGUAAUAUGAAUUAGUAGAAAUAGGUAAAAAUAGAUUAAUUUGAUAAUAUCUUAUAAAGAAGAUUUUUAGAAGCUUCAUAGAUGUGGUUUCACCUUUAUAUCUAUCUACAAGUAAUUGAUGGAUUAGAAAAUUCACCAACAAGUUAGCCACAUGUCACAUGUAUUGAUAGCUUAUAAUAUAAGCUAAUAAUGUAGCACAUAUAUAGAAAACUUGCCUUGCAAGUUACAACAUGUGUCUCAUAAAUUAGACACAUGUUGAAGGUCCUAUAGAAUGUUGUUACAUAACUCUUAGUUAGAUAGUAUAUAUGAAGAUAAGAAUAAAGCCUUCUUCAUUCUUGUCAAUUCUUUUCUUAUUUCUAGUCUAGUUUCAUAGGUUGCUAAUUUUCUUAUCUUUUGGCAAUAGCCAUUCUAGUCUCUUUUGAAUGUAUAUAUUUACUUUUUUUCAUUUUUUCAUCUUUCUUUGAAAAAAGUCUCAUUUUUUUAUUUGUCUUUAUCAAGUUAUAAUGCUUUGCACCAAUACUUGAAAUAGGGCCUUGAGAGAACCAAUUUAGUAUAGACAAGUAGCACAAGGUUUGGCUUCUACCAACUAUAUGGUGAGGUAGUUGAUAGAAGCCAUUUUUCUUUCAUUUUAUCAUGUAAAGAUGGUUUUUUAGAAAAAAAGAGAGAUUAGAAGUGAAGUUCCUAGAGAGCCAAUAUGGAGUGGUGUUGUGUGAUCACACAACUAUAUGGUGAAAAAUAAAAAUAUGGAUGUUAUUAUAAAAGAGCCUAAUAAUAAGAUGUAGUAGAAAAACAAAGAUAAAUGAUGAAAAGGUAGUAAAAAUUUGUCUUAAUGUUGCUUUUUGUAGAAGGAAUAUCUAUUUACUUUGUAAGAAUAUAAAUGCCUCAAAUAAAAAUAAACAGGAUAAGUAAAUAAUAUAAAAAACUUUAAAAAAUAAUUAAAAAUAUAUUUUAGUAAAACAUACUUCAAAAUACCAAAAAUUGAUAUUAGGAGAGGAUUGAUUGUGAAUUUGGGUCAAAAUCAGAUCCCAAUAUACAAAACAAGGCACCUAUGGCAACUCAGGGGUUCUUUAGUCAAUUAAAGAAUGAGAUUUGAGAGCAAACUUCAAAAGAAAUUUUUAAGAGUUGAUUUCAUGUCAUUUAGAUGGAUAUUAAGGUUUUGAAGACUUUUCAAAGUUAGAGGUGUAUUCGGGGGGUUUAGAUUUUGAGAAAUAAAAAUAACUUUACAAAUUUUAAGUUUUUGUGAGUUUUGUGGCUUAUUUAAAGGUGAAAAUUUAUUUAGUUGUCAUUGUGCUAGUUGAAAAUAUAUGUAAGAAAUUUUAUAUCAAUCAAGUAGUUAAAUUGAAGGUUAUUAAAUUUUUUGUGGAUUAUGAUCUUAGAUAUUUAAAAUUUAGGAUCAAUAAGGAUUUCUACAAUCUAGAAAAAUAUGCCAAUUCAAUUUUACCAAAAUUUGGUGAGAGAAAUUUAAAUUCAAAUACCUACAUACAAACCAAUUUUUGGAGAAAUUGAAUGGUUUAGCAAGGAGAAAUCUUUGUUGAAAGAUCAACAUUCAAAUUAGAAAAGAAGAGUGGUCAACAUCCAAGAGGUUUUAAGAGCUUUUUUUACAAUUGGUGUAUUUGAUUCUUUUCAAAUUUUGCAUGUUUGUUAAUUGCUUGUUGAUAGAAGUCUUGGUGAAAUUUUAGUCAAGAUCAACAAUUCAAUUAAUAUUUAUUGAGGUUUCAAACAACUAUAGUAAUUGAUUAAGAUUUUAUUUAAUAUUGUUUUGAAAUUGUUUAAGGUUUGAUCAGGUUUUGGUUAGGAUUUAAGAUUUGAUUAAGAUUGGUUUAGAAUUUGGUUAGGAUUUAGUUAGGUUUUAAUUAGGAUUAAUUUAGAAUUUAGGAUUUGAUUAGGAUUUAAGAUAUAAUUAGUGUUGAUUUGAAAUUUGAUUAAGAUAUGGUUAGGAUUUAAUUAGGAUUAGUUUAGAAUUUAUAAUUUAGAAUUUGGUUAGGAUUUAGGAUUUCAUUAGGAUUUUAUUAGGAUUUGAUUUAGAAUUUUUUAAAGUUUUAUUAAGAUUUAAAUUAGGUUUUCAUUAGGAUUUUUUUAGGAUUUGAUUUAGAUUUUUUUAAAGUUUUAUUAAGAUUUAAAUUAGGAUUUAAUUAGAAUUUGAUUUGAAUUUAUUUAGAAUUUAUUUAGAAUUUAUUAAAGAUAUUUAUUUUUAUUAUUUUAAAAAUAUUCUUUAUUAUUUCCUUAAAAUUUUCUAUUUUUUAUAUUUUUUAAAGACUAUUAUUAUUUCUUUAAGUUUUUAUUUAUUUAUUUAUUUUUAUUUUUUAUAAUUUUAUUAUUAUUUGAAAUUAAUUUUUAGAUUCUUUGUGUUUCUUUUGUAUGUUUUUUAAAUUUUCUUUCAUACUGGUUAAAUUUUGAUAAGAAUUAUUAAAGAUUACUUAAAAUUUAUUUAAGACUCUAUUAGAUUAGGUUGGAUUUUGUUAUUGUAUUUCUACUUACCUUCUAUAGCUAGGUGUUUAGUGCAUUUUCAAGCAAAAAUUCACAUAAUACAACAACAAGCACAUGUGCCAUACAUCCACAGCAUCCACUUUUUGGCCAUCCGUAUUAGGUCCAAUAAGUGGCAAUGCCCUUAAUAUAUGAUCUUAAUUUUAUUUAAAUAAGUAUUUGUAUCAUUUGAUAGAAUAAAUUUAAUUUUAAAAUAUAAUAUCAAUUUAUUUUUAUCAUCUACUUCUAAUAUAUUUUAUAAAUCAGAUUAGUAUAAUUAAAAAUAUAUAUAUUUUUAAACCUAAUUUUGGUAUAAUUUUUUAUAUUUUAUUUUUAAAUAUUUUAAAGUUUUAUCUAAAAAAAUAGAUAUGAAGUGAAAUUUUAAUUUUGAAUUAUGAACUGAUUUUAAGAAUACAUAAUUAAAAAUAUGUUAAAAAAUAUUUUAAAAUCGUUAAAGUAAAAAUUUAAAUAAAAUGAAAAAAGAUUAAGCAUAUUUAUGUGACAACAUGUGCGUUUAAAAAUUAUUUAUAAAUUUAGAUUGGCCAACUUUGCUUGAAAAUAUUCUACCUUCAGUAAUUAAAAAAAAUAUUUAAAAAAUAUAUGUAUAUUUGCAUUAUAACAAUAUAUAUAAUAAAAUAUCCAUAUCUUUUGAUAUGAUUAUUAAAAUCUAUACCACCAAAUAAUAAAAUGUCAUUAAAACUUGGCCAAAAUUUCUACUACAAUGCAUUCAUAUCAAUCCAUUGUAUAUUGACAUAUGUUUAAUAUUUAUUGUAUGGUAAAAAUCUGUAUAUAAUUAGUUUUCAACAACUUAUUAAAUUAAAUUUUAUUGGAAUAAUUUAAUAGCACAUGUGACGUUUUCAAACUUAUUGUAUAGCACUUAUAGAAAUUUGAGUAAGAAAAUGUCUAUUCCAUAUUUUUAUCAUUUAGGUGUAGCAUAAAAAAAAUUAUUCUAACUAUUUUUUCUUUUUUAAAUUUAAAAUAUUAUUGUGUAGUAAAUAAUUUUAUAAUUUAAAUAAUUCAAAAAAAGACAUAUAUUUUAAAAUUUUAAUUAGAAUUUUAUAUAUAUAUAUAUAUAUAUAUAUAUAUAUAUAUAUAUAUAUAUAUUUGUGUGUGUGUGUAUGUAUGUAUGUAUGUAGAUUUUUAGAUAAUUAAAAUUGAUUAAUUUUUUUAUUUUUAUUUAAUUUUUUUCAAAAAAAUAGAUUUUAAAGAAAUAUUAAUAAAGUAUUUUUUAAUUUUUUUUAUAAAUUACUUCUAAAGAAUAUGUUAAAUAAAUCAAUAAGAAUAUUUUUGAAAUUCUAUCUAAAACAUCAAUUUGAAUAAUUUAAAGUAUUUUAAAAAGAUAUCAAUUAAAAAAAUAAAAAAAUGAAGAUAUUAUCAUAUAAGUUGUAACUUAAAUAUAGAUACAUAUAUCCAAAUGAAUAAAAUUAUGAUUAAAUAGCAAUAGCUUUAACAUGGGGCAAAAGAAAGUAGUGUGAAGGAUUCUUUGAUAUAUAUUUUUUAAAUUAAUUUUUUUUGAAUAAAAUAGGGUCGAAAUAUAAUAACAAUAAAUAAGAAUUUAAAAAAUAAGAAAGAAAUAACUAAAAUAAAAAAAUUAAUUAUUUGAUAAUUUACAAAAAGGUUUAAGUUUUAGUAAGCAUUUUAGGUAUAUACAUAUUAUAAUAUAUAUUUAAAAUUUCUAUAUAAGAAUAAAAUGAAAUAAAAUAAAAGAUAAAUAUAUCAAAAAUAUAAAAUAUAAAAACUAUUAAAAAAAUAAAAAAAAUUAAUAAAUAUGUAAGAAAAGAAAUAAUUAUAAAUAGAAAGUUUGAUCCAAUUCAAUAUCAAGGAUGAAAUAAAAGGUUUGAUAUAAUUCAAUAUUGAAGAAGAGAUAGAAGAAAUUAUUAAAAAAAUACAUUUAAAGAUAAUUUGAAUAUGUCAGAUUUAUUAACUAAUAAAUUAAAGAAAUAAAAAAUUUAGAGGUGUUUUAAAAAAAAUAAUUAGAUUAGAUAAGAAUAAUAAUCAAAACGUAAUAGGGUAUGAAUAAGAUAUUUAUAUUAUUAGCACCUAGAGAUAUGUAAUUGGAGUCAUUUUUGGAAAGUUUUUAGAAUUGAGGUUAGGAUGGUGGUUUAUGUAGAAUCCACCAUAGAACCUUUUAGAAAGAUAUAGGGCAGUUAAUAUGGUAGAUCCUACUUUUAGAAUCUUCUAAAUAGGUAGUUAUCUUGGUGAGGCCUACCAUUAGAGAUAUUCUAGAAAGUUCCAGGGAUAGUUGAACAAAGUAUAAAUAGGACUAAUUGAGGCCAUUUAGACAUUUGGUUAGGUAUGAUUUUAGACUCUUUCUCUAAGUAAAUUUUGGUUGCUAUUCCUUGUUUUAUUCUGUUUGGUUUUGUUUGGUUUAAUUUUCUUUUACUCAAUCUUGUCUUUCAUGUUCUAUUCAGUUUAGUUACUUUCAGUUUUGUUUUAGUCUGUUUGGUCUUACGUUGUCUCAAAAUCUUUGUUGUUAUGAAAUUGAUAAGGUUUUAGACCUUAGAGAAUAUAGAUUUGUUUUACAAAAGGUUUAUAGAAGAAAAAUAAGAAAAAUAUAUAUCUAAUAUAUAUAUAUAUAUAUAUAUAUAUAUAAGAAGAAGAAGAGAUUAAGAUAAGAUAUAUAUAUAUAUAUAUAUAUAUAUAUAUAUUUUUAAAAUAAAAUUUGAAACAAGAUUAAUUAUAAUCUACUAAAAUAUUAUUAGAUCUUAAGCCAAGUUUGAUUUUAAUUGUAUUAAUAAAUCAUUAUAUACAUAAGAAAUAAAAGUAAAAUUUAUGUAUGAUAUAAAUAUAAAUAAAUUAAAAAUGAAAUGGAUGUAACUUAAAAACAAAUUAGAUUUGAAUUUGGUAUCAAUAUUUUAUCUCUUCUACCAGAAUUAAAUAUAUUUUUAUUAUUAAUUAUAAAAAUUUAGUUUAUAAUUUUAUUUCUUUACUAAAUGUAUCAAAUUAGUAAUUAGAUAUCUCAUGUUUAUUCAAAAAGACUCUUUUAAUAUAUAAAUUUUUAAUUUUUACUAAAAUAAUAUUUUUUAAAAUUUAUAUGCUAUAUAAUACUUUAUAAUUUUAUGAUUUAUAAAAUAUUUUUUUUAAUUUAUAUUUUUUAAAAUAUAAUUUAUAGGUUUAUUUUUAUAUUAAUUUAAAAUUUAAAAUUAUUUAUUUUUUAGUAAAAUAAGGAAAAAAUAAGAAUUUAAUAUUUUAAAAAAAUUCAAAUCAAAAUUUUAUAUCUUUAUUAAGAUAAUUUUUUUUGUAUCUUUUAUUUUUGAUUAAUAUUUUAUUUAAAAUUUUAAAAAUUAAGAAAAAUAUAAAUUUAUUUAUAUUUAAAGUUUAAAUUAUUUUUUAAAUAAUCCAUGUUAUAUUAAAAUAUUAAUACUUACUUUUGUUUUUUAAUUUUGUCUUAAAAUAUUAAAUUUAUUUUUUAAAAUUUACUUCUUUUGAAUAUAUAUAUAUAUAGACCAUUUUAUAGACCAUUUUAUAGACCAUUUAUUGAAUAUAUAUAGACCAUUUUAUAGACCAUUUAUUGAAUAUAUAUAUAUAUAUAUAUAUAUAUAUAUAUAUAUAUAUAUAUAUAGACCAUUUAAUAGAUCAUAUAUAUUAUUAUUUUUAUAUUUAUGGUUUAUACUUAUUUUAUUUUGAUUUAUAAUUUAUCUUUUUAAUUAUAUUUAUAUCUUAUUUUUUAAAUAUUUUUUUAAGAUUAUUAAUUAUUCUUAAUCCUAAUUAUAUAUAAAUUAAAAUUAAAGAUUUUUUCUUAGACCAAUAAUUUUUAUCAACCAAAUAAACUUAUAGAUUUUGUAGUAGCCUUUAUGGCAUAAUUGGAUUGAUAAGAUUGCUUUAGUUCCAUUGUGACAAAAAUAUUUAUUUAUUUCAAUAAUUACCUAUUUGAUUAGGUAGAAGUAAAUAAAUUUAGAUAAGUUUCAUAAUAUCUUCUAUAAAAGCUUUUUAAAAGCUUCAUAGAUGCAAUUUUGACUUUAUAUGUGUUUGUAAUUAAUUAAUAGGUUAAAAACUUGGUCAAUAAGUUAACUAUGUGCCACAAAUGUUGAUAGCUUGUGAAACAAGAUAAUUAUGUAGUACACAUAUAAAAAACUUCCCUUGUAAGUUAAGAUAUGUGUUUAGCAAAGUCAACACAUGUUAAAAGUCUUAUAGAACAUUGUUAUAUAGCUCCUAGUUAGAUAGUAUACAUGGAGGCAAGAGUGAAGCCUUCUUCACUCUUUUUAAUGCCUUUUUGGUUCUUAGUCUUCUUUCAAGACUUUCUAGUCUUUUUGUUUUGGAUAAUAGCCAUUCUAAUACAAUAUUAUAUUAUCUUUGAAUGACUUUCUAGUUUUUUUAAUAUUACAAGAAUGUGUUGAGGAUUUCUUUCUUUGAGAUUCAUAUCCUUGAAAAUUUGACAAGAGUCCUAACUUACUUUUUUUUAUCUUAUUUUAGAAGUGAGUGAAUUAUCUCACUUCUAUUAUUAUAUUUUAAAUAUUAUAGACUAUCUACUUUUAAUAUAUAUAUUUAUAUAUAUAUAUAUAUAUAUAUAUUAAUACUGAUAUUUUUCUUUAAAAAAGUAGAUUGUCUUUCUUUGUAGAAAUUUUUAUUUAAUAUUAGAGAUUGUAGAUUAUCUUCUUUUUAUUUAAUUUUUUGAAUUUAUUUGAUUUAUCCAUAGAAAGAAAGAUUAUAGAUGCUACUCUCAGCGGAAGUGAGAAUAAAUUUGCAACUAUUGCACAUCUUUAUGAGCUUGUUAAUACUCUUAGAAUAGAAAUCUCGUAUAUUUCUAAUGUGAAUCAUAGAAGUACUAUACCUACAUCUAUAGAAGAAGUUUAGAGUUUGCAAUAAGAAGUUGUGUAGUUGAAGGAAGCAAGUAGAUCGACCUUGCAACCAAAUCUAAGGAGUUUUGUUCCUAUUAGUAUGAUGGAGAUAAGAAUUAGUAUACAUGAGAAGUUUGAUGGAAUAGGAUAAAAAUUUCAAAGAUUUUUGCAAUAAGUCAAGUUCUAUCUAAGGUUGGAUUUCUUCCAAUAUCUUUGUGGAUUUAUUCAAGUAGGAUUUAUAGGUGCACUUUUAUCAAGAAGUACUUACUCUUGGUUUGUAACUUUAAUGAAAAAAGAUUUGCAACUCAUCUAUGAUUUGAAUUCAUUUCUAGAAGUGUUAAUGGCUACAUUUGAAAAAAAAUGAUCAAAAAAGAAUAGCAAAGACUAAGCUCUUAUCUUUAUGGCAAGGAUCACGAUUAGCUAUCAUAUAUGCUAUUGAAUUUCAAAAUCUAGCUUGCAACAUGGACUAGAAUGACAAAGCCCUUAUCAAUCAAUUUUGAUAUGGAUUGAAGGAUAAUGUCAAAGAUUUGUUAUUGACAAUACAAAAGGCAAAACCUUUAGAAUAAUUUAUUAUUCAAGCUAUUGUAUGUAAUAAUCGAUUAUUUGAAAGAUGUCAAGAAUAAAAAUUUGAUUGAAGAAGAACAAAUCAAAUAAUGACAAUAAUUAUCAAGUUUUUAAAAACUUGUUCAUUGAGGCUAAAAUCAAUGUAAAUUGAUAUGGUAUGUUUUAAACCCCUCUCACAGCAGGAAAAGACUUAACAAUAUCAAAAAGGCUUAUGCUUAUAUUAUAGAGAAGCUAAAUACACUGCUCAACAUUGUCCAAAGAAACAAUGCAAUCACAAAAUAAAAAGCAUUGUUGCCAAAGAAGAAGAGGUAUCAUAAAACAAGUUUUUCCAACUACAGUAGGGACUAUGCAGCUAAAAUCUUAUAUAACUCUUAGUAAAGGUCCUAUUUUCUCCUCGGAUCCUUCACCUUGUUUUACAAUAGAAGUUUAUUUAGGACCAAAAAAUCACAAAAACUUAGCUUUAUUAGAUUUAAGAGCCUCAACUUAUUUUAUAGAUAAAAAUUUUGCCAAAAAAUGAAAAAUAUCAUUAGUCAAAAAGACUAAAUAUGUAUAUGUAGAAGUUAUAGAUGGUCAUUUUCUAUCUUCUAGAGUUGUUACACAUGAGAUUAUUCUUUUAGAUAUAGCAAUUAAAGAUCAUAAUAGCAUGUCAAUAUUUAAUAUAAUAAGAUCUAUGUUUAAUUUGAUAAUUUUAGAAAUUAUCUUUGUUAAAAAAAUAUAAUCUUUAGAUAGAUUGGAUUUUUCUUAAUCUUAAUUUUUCUUAUAAUUUAAUUCAAAAUCUCAUUAGUCAAGUAAAAAUAUAUAACUCUAAUACAUCUAAAUCUUUAUUGGUAGAUGCAAGAGCUUUUAUACAUGUUGCAAAAGAAGGGUUAUUUUUUUCUCUAUAUACCAUGCCUAUUUCAAAUAACAAGAAGAUGUCAAGUGAUAUUCUUAGCUAAUAUUAAGAUUUUCAAGACGUUUUUGAAAAUAAGAAUGCAGUUAUUCUUCCAAAGUAUUGUCCUUAUGAUUGUUCUAUUGAUCUUCAUAAAAGAAUUCAACCACCAUUUGGACCAAUCUAUAGCCUAUCACAAAAUGAAUUGGUUGCACUCAAAGAGUACAUUGAUGAAAACUUAGCUAAGAAUUUCAUAUGUCAUUUUAAAUCUCAAACUAAGUCUCUUAUUUUAUUUGUGAAGAAAAAAAAAUAGAUCUCUAUGGAUGUGUGUAGACUAUUAAAGAUUAAAUAAGAUCACCAUCAAAAAUAGGUAUCUACUACCUUUGAUUUUAGGACUUCUUGAUCAAUUCAAUCAAGCAAAGAUCUAUAUAAAAAUAAAUCUACAAAGAGUAUAUAAUUUGGUAUACAUUAAUAAAGGAGAUGAAUAGAAAACUUCAUUUCAAACCAUGUAUAAAUAUUUUGAAUAUAAUGUCAUGCCUUUUAGACUUACAAAUGUACUAAUUACUUUUCAACAUGUAACAAGUGAUGUUUUUUGUGAAUUUCUUGAUGAUUUGUCAUUUUUUAUUUAAACAACAUGUUAAUCUACUCAAAGAACACAAAUGAGCAUAAAGUUUAUAUUUUUUGUGUAUUAAAAAAACUUAGAAAUACAAGAUUAUAUGCAAAGUCAAAAAAUUAUGUAUUCCACACUAUUCAAGUUAACUUCCUAAAAUACAUCAUUUUCAAUGAAGGGCUAAUGGUAGAUCUGAAAAAAGUCUAAACUAUCAUGGAUUAGAAGAUUCCAAAAAUAGUAAGAAAUAUGUAAUACUUAUGAGCUUUGCUAAUUACUAUCAAAAAAUUUUCAAGUUGUAGUGCUACUUAUAUGUUUGACUUAUAAAAACAAAUUUGAAUAGAAUAAAGAAGCCAAAGUAUUUUUUGAUGCUUUAAAAAAGGCGUUUAUUUUUUCACCAAUUUUAUAUCAUAUUGACUUUUCUAAAGUAUUUUUUAUGGAAAUAGAUGCAUCAAACUUUGCCUUGGAUGCAAUAUUAUCACAAAUAGGAGCAGAUGAUAAACUCUAUCUAGUAGCUUUUUAUUCUAAAAAAUUUCAAUAGCCAAGAUUAAUUAUGAAAUCCAUAACAAAAAGCUCCUUGCAAUCACAGAUUUAUUUUAAGAAUGGCAUCAUUAUUCUUAUCUUGCACCAAAAGAAAAAGAUGCAUCUUUUGAUCAACAAAAAAUGAUUUUCUUGAAGUCAAAUUAUUUUCACCUUCAAGCAACAAAAUGAACAUUGAUUGUUGAUUCAACGUUUGUCAAGCAAAUUCAAUCAAGUAUAUCCUCUGAUCUUCUUGUCUAUGAUAUCAAGAAUAAUUCUUCUAAGUCUCAUGAUAUUUUCAAGUUUGAGUUCAAGAACAACCUAUUUUAUUUUGAAAGACGAUUAUACAUUCCAAAAGAUGGAAUUUGAUUACGUAUUCUUCAAACUCAUCAUGACUUUCUAGCAACUAAAUAUUUUAGUUACAAUAAGACUUUGGAGUUAAUAUUGAGAGGUUUUUGGUGGCUUCAAAUAUAGAAGGAAGUCCAAGACUUUGUACAAUCAUGUGAUAUUUUUUCAAGUUCCAAAACUCAUCUCCAUCAAUCUCAUAAACUUUUUCAGCCAUUACUUAUUCUUAAGCAAUCAUGGUCUUCUAUUUCUAUGGAUUUUAUUAUGGUGUCAAGUUGUGGUUUGGCUACCAUAUAAAAAUAAUGUGAUUAUGUAUUUAAUGUAUAAUUUAAUUAACAACAUAGUGAGAGCCAUGUUAUUGGAUUUUAAUUGGUUGUAGAAUGUGGUUAAAUUACUACUUUAAAAAGAAUUUGUUUAAAAUGAUUACUAUUAGAAUUUAUAUAACUUUAUUUUCUUUUGAUAGUAGCUUUUGAGAUUGAUUUUAUUGGUAGUAAUUUUAAAUAUUUAGAAUCAUCUUUAUUAGACAUCGGUGACCCUUGAAGUCUUAUUUUGGUUCUUUAAUUUGGUGUUUAGAACAUAUAUUGAAUAAAUCUUAUAAAGAAAAGAGUUGGAGAGGGCUUUUGAUUAUAAAAAGAGAAUUUAGGGCAUCUAUAUAGAUGAAUGGAGAUGGAUGAUGAAAAUCUCCAUUUCUAUUGGUCAAAAAUCAUGACCAAUGGGCUUCAAGGAGGCUGACCAAGGCCGUAUUAGAGAUUAGGGUUAGUUUUUCGGACCCAUUUGAGCUUUGAAGGCUAAGGUCAGUAAGUUUAGGUUUUUGGCUAUGGUUUUGAUGCAAAUGUUAUAUGAUUCAGAGUUUAUAUGAAGGAGAUAUAGGUGCUCAAAGUUAAGGUGUUGAUUUGGAAGCUACUAUCACUAUUUUUGACAUAAUGCACUCAUACAGAUAGCAAUUGAAGUUCGAAGACUGCGAUUGAAGAGAGCACUUUUGUGGCUAUAGUUUUUGGAUACUGUUUGCUAGAUUCUAAAUUGAAGUGAAGGAGUUAUUGGAUUUUGAAGUCAAUACAUGCAAUCUAAGGGUAGUAUGUAAUCCGAUUUACUAGUGGUUAUAUCUUGAACUAUAUCUUGAGUAAUUUGACAAGGUUAUGGUUCAAAAUUUAGAAAAUUUGUAAAUUCAUGUUAGAAAACUUUGUACAUAAGUUUUAUGACAUUUGAAUAUUGGAUUCUUGAGAUAUUAAGAAAAUAGUACUCACGUGCUUAUAAAUUAGGGUUUAAAGCAUUUGCUAGGAUUUCUUAGUUGUCAGAAGAUUGGGAGUGAAUUUGUAAUUGGAUUUUUUUUGUAGUAAAACUUAAGGAUGAAUUCUACGUACCUUAUAAAUUUGAGAUGAAUUGAAUAGUUAAAUGAAGAGUUAUGAAUUUCUAAAGUUCAAGAAGAGAAAACCCUUCACAGAAAAAAUAUGUUUUGAAGGGAUUUUGUUAUAUUUUUAGUUUUAUGCAAAUUAAAGGAAUUUUGGAAGCUAAGAUAAGAUUAAUAUAAAAUUUUAAGCUAAAUUCUCUAUAUCUAGAUACCUAGUGUAUUCCCAGAUAGCAAAUUACGCCAUACGACAAUAGAUUUUUCAGUUUCAGAUUUGUAUGUUUCUAUAUUUGUAGUGGUAGAUUUUUUUAUCGAGAUGAUACAUUUUAUAUCAUAUACAAAAUCUAUAAUAAGUGAAGAAAAAACUAAGCUUUUAUUUAACAACAUCUAUUGCUAUUAUGGAUUGCCUUAAGAUAUUAUAUUAAAUAAAAGAACUUAAUUUAUAUCAAGAUUUUAGAGAUUUUUUUUUAAGAUUUUAAAUAUGGAUAUAAAGCUUUCUUUGGCUUUUCAUCUUUAGACUGAUGGACAAACAAAAUGGAUAAAUCAAGUUUUAGAGUAAUACUUGAGGUGUACUAUCAACUAUCAUCAAGAUGAUUGGAUAAUUCUUUUACCAUUGGCAGAGUUUGCAUAUAAUAAUUUAUACAUUCUUCCAUUCAACAAACAUCUUUUUUUGCCAAUUAUGAUUAUUAUCCAUGACUUGAUACUUUUGACUUUUCAAAAGUUGAUAAUCCUAUGGCAAAAGAUUUGGCAAAUUGUUUGUUAGAGCUAUAUGCAACAAUGAAGGCUCAAUUAAAAGGAGCUCAAGAACGACAAAAAAUUAACGUAUGUGCCUAUCACAAAAAAUAAUCACAAUUUAAUGUAAAUGAUAAAGUAUGGUUACUUUGUCACAAUAUCAAGACUAUUCAUCUUUGUGACAAGUUGGACUAUUGUAGGCUUUGAUUUUUUCUAUUAAUAAAUAAAUCAAUCUUGUUGCUUAUCAAUUAUAUUUGCUAGAGUCUAUGAAGAUUUAUCCUAUAUUUUACAUGUCUCUUCUUGAGCCAUAUAAGACAGUGAACAUCUUGAGAAGAAGACAAAUGUCACUUCCUAUAGAAGUGGAUAAUAAUAAAAAAACUCAAGAUAGAAGAAGUCUUAGAUUCAAGGCAAUGCUAAAAUAUGUUAGAAUAUCUUUUUCAUUAGUAUGGAUAUGAUAUUAGUAAAUGCACAUGGAAGCCAACAAAAAAUCUUACAAGUACAGCAAAGAGAAUUGAAGCUUUUCAUCUACAACAUCCAUCAAAACGAAGAUGAAGAAUAAAAAAUCUUUGCUAUAAAAAAAAAAGAUCAAAAGAAAGUAACACUCUACCUUUUAUCCUUCUUUAUAGCUUUUGUGUAUUUAUGAUGCUAAAGAGAUGGAGAACCAACAAUCAGUCGAUUCAAUUCAAGAGCUUUUAUUUGCAAACUUAUUAAAUGAGAUAUUGUAAUUUUUACAACCUUCAAGAUGAUGAAAUCGAGAUGAAGAUCCUCAAAUAUGACAUAUCUUUUCUUGAAUAGAUAGUGAGAUAUAGCAUAUUUGAUAUCACAACCUUGGAAGAGACUCUUAAUUUUUGGUGAUUUUAUUAGAAGUAGGAACAAUUCCUAAAGGAAUUUCAAAUAUUUUGUUUGAAAGAAGUUAUAAAAGCCUCAACAAUGACCAAAUAAUAGGGUGGUCUUUUUGCCCUGGUAUGGGACACUAUUGAUAGUUGAGAAGACCUAUCAACCAUCUUCAAAGGAAACAAAGAUAAAAGUAUGUGAAAAAAAAAAUUUGUUGCAUCUUAGAUUUUUUCAACAUUUGAAGACUGCUUCUUAUGGAAUUCAUCCCUAAAAGGAGAAAUAAUGUCAUAGAUAUAUAUAGGUAUUCUAAUAAAUAUCUAUAUGAUUAGAUAAAAGUAAAUAAAAAUAAAUAAAAAUAAUUUAAUUUUAUAAUACCUUCUUGAAAAGCUUCCUAGAAGCUUUAUAGAUAUUACUUUGAUUUUAUAUGUAUUUGUAGUUAAUUGGUAGGUUAGAAAUUAGAUCAACAAGUUAACCACAUGUUGGUAGCUUGCAAAACAAUCUAAUUAUGUGGUGCACAUAUAAAAAACUUGCCUUACAAGUUAAGGUAUGUAUUUUUUAAAGUCAACAUAUUUUGGACAUCUUAUAGGACAUUGCUACAUUGGUCUUAAUUAAGAGUAUAUAUGGAGGCAAGAGUGAAGCCUUCUUCACUCUUGUUAAUGCCUUUUUAAUCUUUAGUCUUGUUUCAAGACUUUCUAGUCUUUUUAUUUUUGACAAUAGUCAUUUUAGUUCAAUACCAUAUUAUCUUUGAGUGACUUUUUAGUUCUUUUUAGUAUUACAAGAGUGUAUUAAGGAUUUCUUUCUUUAAAAUUCAUAUUCUUAACAGUUAUAGAUUAUUCACCUUUAAACAAAUAGUUUAGUUUUUUAACAUUGAUUUUUUGUUUAAAAAAAGUAAACUAUCCCUCUUUGUAGAAAUUCUUAUUUGAUAUUCGAAUUUAUACUUUAUUUUCUAUUAAUUUAAUAUUUUGAAUUUAUUUGAAUUAUCUAUGAAAGAAAAGAUUAUUAAUAUUAUUUUUGAUAGAAGUGAAAUUAGAUUUAUAACUAUUGUAAAUUUUCAUACAUUUUUCAACCUUCUAAGAAUAAAAAUCUUAUAUAUUUCUAAUAUGAAUUAUGGAGAUACUAUUCUUAUACAUCUAAAAAAAAGUUCACAGUCUAUGCCAUAAAUUUGUAUAAUUAAAAGAAGUAAGUAGAUCAGCCUCACAACCAAAUUUAGAAAGUCUUAUUUCUACAAGUACAAGAGAAGCAAGAAUUAGUAUGCCUAAGAAGUUUGAUGGAACAAGAUUAAAAUUUUGAGGAUUUUUGCAACAAGUUAAGCUCUAUUAAAGAUUGUAUUCUUUCCAAUAUUCUAAUAGAUUUAUUCAAGUUGAAUUCAUAAGCACACUUCUAUCAAAAAGUGUUUUUUUUUUAAUUUUCAUAUUUGAUGGAAAAAGAUUCACAACUAUUCUAUGAUUUGGAUUUAUUCUUAAAAAUAUUUAUAGCUAUAUUUGAAAAAAGUGAUUAAGAAAGAAUAGCAGAAACCAAGCUCAUAUUGCUACAACAAGAACCACAUUAAACUACUACAUAUGCCACUAAAUUCUAAAAUAUUGCUUGCAAUGUGGAUUAAAAUAACAAAGUCUUUAUCAAUCAAUUUUAAUAUGGAUUAAAAGAUAAUGUCAAAGAUUUAUUAUUGAUAAUUUCAAGAGUUAAUUGUUGCAUACAAGUUAAGCCAUAAUAACACCUUCUAAGUUUUUAAAAGCUUACUUAUUUAGGCUAGAGCCUAUUCAAAUUAACUUGGUACGUUUUAAAUUUUUUAUUGAGCAAAAAAAGACUCAUUGUCAAAAAGAUUUAUGCCUAUAUUGUAGAAAAUCCAAGCAUAUUGCUCAACAUUAUCCAAAGAAGCAACAUAAUUAUAAAAUGAAAAGAAUGGUUGUUAAAGCAAAUGAUGUAUUAAAAAAAUAAUUUUUUCAACUAUAAUAGGGACUAUACGGCUAAAAUCUUAUAUAAUACUUGAUAAAGGUCUUAUUUUUUCUUCAAAUCCUUCAACUUAUUUCACAAUAGAAGUUUAUUUAGGAUCAAAAAAUCACAAAGUCUUAACCUUAUUAGAUUCAAAAGCCUUAGCCUAUUUUAUGGAUUUUUUUUUUUUUUAAAAAAAAUAAGAGAUAUUAUUAGUCAAAAAAACUAAAUCCAUAUAUAUAGAAGUCAUAGAUGGUUGUUUGUUGUCUUUUGAAGAUAUUAUUGAUGAGAUUAUUUUUUAAAUAUAGUAAUUAAAGAUCAUAAUAGCGUAAUAAUAUUUAAUGUCAUAAGAUCUCCAUUCAAACUAAUUAUUUUAAAAUUAUUGUAGUUAAAAAAGUAUAAUCCUUGGAUAGAUUGGACUUUUUGUUAUUGAAUUAUGUGAAGUCUUGCUUGAGAAUGCAUCAAGUAUCUAGCUAUAGAAGAUAAAAGAAAAUUAUAACAAUAAGUCUUAAAAACUCUAAUAGAAUCAUAUAUAAAUUGUAAUUAAAGCUUAACAAAGAUAAUUAAACAUUGAUAAAGUUAAAUUGAAAUUUUAAAUAAAUUAUAAAAGAAAUAUAAAAAAAUCCUAAAAAAAUCUUAAUUAAAUCUUAAUAAAAUCUUUAAAAAAUCCUAAUUAAGCCUGAAAAAAAUCCUAAUCAAAAUUUAGUCAAAUCCUAGAUAAAUCCUAGAUAAAUCCUAGUUAAGCCUUAGACAAAUCCUAAUCAAACUUUAGAAAAAUCUUAAUCAAAUUUUAGACAAAUUUUAGACAAAUCUUAGUCAAAUCCUAAAUAAAUUCUAAUCAAAUCCUAUAAAAAUCUUAAUCAAAUCCAAGAAAUAUCCUAAAAAAAUUCUAAUCAAAUCCUAAAUAAAUAUUAGAAAAAUUCUAAUUAAAUCUUAAACAAAUUCUAAUCAAAUUCUAUAGUAGAUUGAAACCUCUAUAAAUAAAAAUUAAAAAAUUAAUUUUAACUCAAAUUUUGCAUAUCUCUCAAUAACUAAGCUGAUAAUAAGGACAAAUUAUUUUAAGAAAAUCGAAUUUACCAAAUAGAAGACAAAUCCUAAAAUCUGCUUAGAUAUUAGUUAGCCUUCUUCUUCAAUCUUGAUGCUAAUCUUUCAAAGCCAAAAUCUCUUAAUUCCACCAUUAAAUACCUCUCAAAUUUCACAUAUAUAUUAAAAAUCAAGUCUAUUACUUAUAUAUAUAAAUUUUAUUUCAAUCCAACUAGUAGAUUGCUAAAUAUCUUAGAAAUCCUCACUAACCUUCAAAACUUUAUUUUUGAGAUCUUAAUCCACUUGAACUUCAAUAACGUUUAAUCUAACUGUUGGCAUGAUGUAAUAAGGAUAAUGAAUGAAAGAAAAAAAAUAUAUUCUAGAAUAUCUCAUUUUAAAAUAUUAUAGCAAAUUAUCUUUAAAAUAUAGAUAAUAGUCAAAAAGAUAGUAAACAAAAAACUUUUAAUGCUUCUUUUUUACAAAAUAGACUUCUAUUUACUUUGUAGGACCAUAAAUAAUCCAAAAAAAAGUAGAUUGAAAAAUUAAUUAAUAUAAGCAUAUGUAGGAAGGAUUUAAGAGAAUAUUUUAGUAAAAUUUACCUCAAGAAGCCAAGAAUCGAUACCCAAAGAGGACCACUUGUCAAUUUGGAUUGAAAUCAAAUCUUAAGGCAUAAAAUCAUGCAUCUAUGGCAACUCAAGAGUUCUUUCGUAGAUUGGAGAGUAGAAAUUGACAAAAAACUUGCAAAGAGAUUUUUAGGCAUUAGCUUUAUAUCAAUUGAUUUAAUAUUCAAUUUCACAAGGAUUUUUAAAGUUAAUAAUAUUCUUGAUUGGUUUAGAUUUUAAUACAUAAAACUAUGUUUAAAUAUUUGAAAGUUUCUUGAGUUUUGUGGUAUGUAUAUAAGUAAAUUUUGAAUAGAAUUUUGAUGGAAUAGUUAUAAAUUUAUUUGCAAAUUUUGAGAUCAAUCAAAAUAAUAGAUCAAAGUGUGUAAAGGUUUUUGUGGGUUGAGGUCUCAAAAAUUGGAAUUUGAAGGUCAAUGAAUAUUUCUAAGAUUUCUAGAAAUUUGCUAAUUGGAUUGAAGUGAAACUUAUGUAUAUGAGUAGUAGACUUAUUUUUCUAUAUGUAUGUGAAUUUUGAGAUCAAUUAAACGAUGUAAAAUAGGAAUAUUAGUACUAGAAGAUCAACAUCUAGGUUGGAAAAGGAGGCCAGAUAAUACCAAAGAAAAUUUUAGGAUUUUUCUUUCAUUUGGUAAGUAAAAUUAUCUUCAAAUUUUUUAUAAUUUUUUUUAUCUAAGAAGUUGAGAGGUUUGUAAAUUUUUAAGUAAGAUCAAUAAUUUAAUCAAUAGAUAUUGGGAUUCUAAUCUAUCUUAGGAUUAAUUUGAAUUGAUUAGAUUUUGGUUAGGAUUUGAUUUAUGAUUUAGGAUUUCUCUAAGAUUUGGUUUAAGAUUUAGGAUUUGUUUAGAGCUUAGGAUUUUUCUAGGAUUUAUUGUAGGAUUUAGGAUUUGUCUAAUAUUUGAUUUAGGAUUUAAAAUUUAUCUAAGAUUCAAUUUAGGAUUUAGGAUUUAGUUAGGAUUUGAUCUAAGAUUUUGUUAAGAUCCAUUAGGUUUUUAAUUGAGAUUAAAAUAGAAUUUAAUUAGAAUUUAUUUAAUAUUUAUUUAAUAUUUCUUUAAGAUUUCUUAUAAAUUUCUUUUGGAUUUCUUUAAAAAAAAUUUAAAAUCUAUUUAUUAUUUCUUAAUGAUUUCUUUAUGUUUUUUUUGUAAUUUAUUUAAUAUUUAUUUUAGAUUUGAUUAAAUCUUGAUUGACAUUAUUAAUAUUUAAUUGGAGUUUUUUUAGGAUUCUAUUAGAAUUGUUAACAUCUUGUUGUUGCAAUUUCUCUUCUACCUUCUAUAGCCAAGUAUCCGAUACAUUCUCAAGUAAGACUUUAUGUAAUAUGACACCAUUUGAUCAUACUCAAACUUACAACAUGUAAUAAAGAUAAGUAUUAUCACAAAUCUAUAACUUAUCAUCUAUAGAUCUACUAUCAAACUUACAGAAUUCUUUCAAAUUUAAAUUAUUUUUUUAUUUUACAAAAAAAAAAUUACCAAAAAUAACCUUGAUUUUGCAAAGCUCUCAUAAAGUUAUUUCAAAUUAAAAUUAUCCAAAUUCAAUACUCAAAAAAAUCCUAUGAAUUCUCCCCUCAAAUCCCACUCUUUGAUUUGUAAAAAAAAAUCCUAAGUUGCCAUAGGUGCCCAAUUUUGUGUCUUGGAAUAUGAUUUCGACCUUCAUUGACAAUCAAGCUUUUUUAGAUAUCAAUUCUUAUUUUCUUAAGGUAAUUUUUACUAGAAUCAACUCCUAACUUCCUUGUAUAUAUGUAGAAUAGAUAUUAGUUUGUUUCUAUAAGAUAUUGGUAAAAUAGACUAAUAGUCCAUAGAAUAUUCAGUUCAGGAGGACGGAUGAUUGAUUUAGUUAUUAAAAGCGGUUAAUUACAGGAUUACGAUUAGAAUCUAGAAAUUAAGAGGAAUUAUAUAGGAGUUGUAGAAGUUUAUUGGGGGGCCAGAUUGUGAUAGUCAUGAGCUAGGGUAAGCUUGGUGUUACCUCUUUGUUUCUUUGUUUUCUUUCUUGUUGAAGAGUAAUGGAUAGUUUUUGAAUACUGAGAAGUGAGUUUGUGGAAUAAAUCAAAGAUUGAUUUAUGAGUUAUUGAUUAUGUAAUUGGAGUAUUAAGUGAUUGAAUUAUAUGAGGAGUUAUUGAAAGAUUAUGAUUGUUGUUUAUUGAGAGUUAUGUGUGUUUGGACAAAAGAAGUUGGUGAUUACAAAAACUCUAUGAAUUCAGAUUGGUUGGAGUGAAAUCUGUUAUUCCUAGUAUUGGAUGGAAAUUAUUAUGUUUUAAGUGGUCUUUCGAGACUGCAAGGUUACACACUCUUGUUAUCAGUUGAUGAAGGAGUAUUAUUACUGGGAGAAAAUAUUGUAAUGUUUCUUAGUAUUUUAGUGGUUUGAAAUGCAGUUAAUUGUGUGACCCUAAUAAGUAAAACUUAUGCACUUAGUCUUUCCCUAUGUUUGAAUUCCCUUAUACAAAUUUAUUCUGAAAGGAAUUGUAGAAUAAAUAAAACGAUAAUCAGUGGAUAUCCACGUAGUUAUCCACGGAUAUUAGAAAUAGUGGCCAAUUCCAAUGCCAAUAUUCACGGGCCAAUUAAUGUCACUUCAUUGCAAGUCAUAUCACCGAACGUGACAACAGCGUAUGUUCCAUAUUUUUCGUAUCAACAAUAAGUAUUAACUUCGAUAGAGUUACUAUUAAUACCAGCCCAAAAAGAUUUCAAUGAAACCUUAUUAUUGAAUCUGACGAAGAAAAUGGAAGAAAUGGUCGUUAAUAUGGCCUAAGAUAAGGAGAAGAGGCACAAGCCUACUAAUACUAGGACCAAUGUAUGGUGCAGUAAUUGUAAGGGUCAUGGUCAUUUGGUAACAGAAUGCCCUUCAUCCUCACAAAUGAUGGGUCAAUGUACAUUUUGCAAAGGAAAGCAUUUCACAGUUAAUUAUUGGAAUUGGCAAAGGCAACAAUAAUUCAGUAAUCAAACCAUAAUCCCACCAACUCACUUGGACGUCAAUAAAGUUCAAACAAAAAAUACAUUUGGAUGGAAUGGAAAUCGAUCUAAUCGACAAAAUUGAGCAUUCCAUAACUUUCAAAGUUCCAAUUUUAAUCAAGGGUCUACAUCAAACUCUCAAACCUAUGGGAAGGAGCAUCAGAGAUAUUAGCAAUAUGCUCGACCGCAUCAUCGAACCAAGUAUCCUUCAUACCAACGGGACAACCAAGAUCAUUUUCUAAUCCUACACGAAUAAGCCUAGUAGGUAUAUACCGAUGGAGACACUCAAUAUGCCUGAUGGGGGUGUAAGAAGACCACUUCAUUGUUUUCGUUGCAGACAGAUUGGUCAUUAUGCUAAUAAAUGUUCCAAUCCCAGAGCCAGUGACGAUUAGAGCAAGUCUAUGGGAAUUGCAAGCAGUUGGGACAUACUUAUCAGCAAUGUAAUGCUUCAUUCAAUUUCAAUAAUUGGGAUCUGCAGAUCCAAAACUAAAGAAAAAUAGAGGAGAUAAAUUAAGGUCCUCAAGAUUCUCCGAUAAAUUAGGUGGAAUGUGUCCAAGCCAUUUUUACUAGGAGUCAGCAAAAAAAAAAAGGAUCAAUUCAAUAUUUGGGUGAACUUGAUGUGAAGGGCCAAUUUGACCCAAUUAUAGAAACAUCCAAUCUAGAUCCUAUUAUGGGCCUCUUAUCUAGUAUGAGACCUGACUUGGUUGGACAACCCAAUGAGGUCCUGAUUAUGGAGGCUUCGAUUCCAUUUCAAGCUAUUUCGUUCUCUAUGUAAUUUCAAAAAACGUCCUAUCUGUUGAAAGAUCCUCUCAAGGGUGCAAAUUCCAAAGAAGCUCUGGCUAUUGUUCCAAUUCCAAGUCUAGGAUGGAAGAAUAUCUUACCUCUCGGAGUUAAACUCAACCCAAUGAAAAGAAAGGGGGUAUUGGAAAUUACCUUAAAUAUGGAACCUUGUAGAAUAAGUAGUUAUUUGCUGAAUUGUAGAUACUUAGUUUAUAGUGUAAACAGGGAUAGAUGACUGUUGAAAAGAUAGUUCAGUAGGUAAAAUGGAUGAAUAGUUAAGAAAAGCAGUUUUCAUUAGAGAUGUAGCAGUUGGUAUCUCGUGGUAGCAUAAGGAGGAUGGGAGAGAGGAAGUAAGGGCCAGACUGUGAUAGUAUGAGCUGGGAUAAGCUUAGUGCUGUCUCUUGUUUUUUUGUUUUGUUGUUUAAAGUUCUGAAUACUGUGAAAAGAAUUCAUGGAAUAAAUCAGGGAAAUGAUUUAUGAGAUAUUGGAUGUGUAACUGAAGUAUUGUGUGAUUGAAGGAGAGAAAUUUGGAAGUUGUUAUCAGAUUCUAUGAAGAUUGGUUAUAACUGGAAGAUUAUGAUCGUGGUUAAUUGAAAAUUGUGUGUAUUCGGACCAAGGAAAUCUGGGAAAACAGAAAUUAUGUAAAGUCAGAUUAAUUGAGUAAGAUUGGUUAUUCCUAGUGUUGGAUGGAAUUUAUGUGUUUUGUGUGGACUUUUGAAACAGUGCAAAUUGCAUUUAGUGGUUAUCAGUUAAUGAAAGGAUUUCAUUAGCAGGAAAAAGUCUUGUAGUGUUUCUUCGCUGUUUUAAGUAGUGCGGAAUACAGUUAAUUGUGUGACCCUAAUGUGUAAGCUCAUGCGGUAUUCUUUCCCUGUCUUCGAAUUCUCCUAUACAGGUUUACUCUGAUUAGAUUAGUUAGAGUAAGUAAAACGACAAUUACAUUUUGGCGCCACUGCCGGGGAAAUUGAUAAUAGCAUGGAGUGUUAGGUAUUAACUGCCGGUUGAAGUAGAUGGGAAAUAGGUAGUAGUCGCAGAAGAAUAUAAUGAAAGAGUAUGGUUAUUAAGAAUGAGAACUUAAUAGUAAAGAAAAUACGCCAGUCAAGAGAAAGAAUAGAGAGAUCGCAAGCAAGAAAUUUGUUGCGAAACAAGCAACAAAGAAAGUUAAAAAGGAAUCAUAGACAAAGCUGGAUUAAGCCAUGGUUGCAUGCCUGUCGUCAUAUUCGAGCAUACCCAGAAGCUAAUCGACAUCUAAUAUUUCAGAAGUAUAUACCGUUAGAAAAAUUGCCAAGAGCACUUGUGGAAAAUUUGGUCAAUAGGCCAGGGUUUCUUCUGAGACCGUUAACUAAGAGUGGGAGAAUCACAGAAGAGUUGGGUACUCCAUUGGGUACGUUUCAAUAGCGAAAACUACCAAUUCCGUCAAAACUGGUUCCAUAGAGUGGCAUAAAUUAUUGGUCAAUAAGGGCCAAUUGAGUGUGUUGUAAAAUCCGUCAUUCUCACCUCCUAUUCAACCAAUAAACUUGUUCAAGGAUAAUAAUAGCAAAUUGAGCAGGGUAGAAAGUUUAGAAAAUAUAUUUGGGAGAGACGCAGACUAUAUUAACAAACGAUUAAGUAUCACAUUGUCAAAUUCAAUGACGAAGGGAGGUCCAGCGGUUCCCAUAGCAGUACAAAUGGGUACUUUGAGUGAUCGCACAACUAGCGUGGCUCCAUUACCUACUUUUAGGGACUUUCCAGGUGUGGAUCCAGAUCAACAUUUGUCGCAGUUUUUGACAGCAUGUGUCGCCAAUAAUGGAAGAACCAAGGAUAUUUGGUUACGAUGGUUGCCAGCAACCUUAAAGGAUACGGCAUUUGAAUGGUAUAAUCGUCAACCAGUUGAUCAAUUUUCGAACUGGGAAUCAUUGAAGAAUGCAUUUUUGACCCAUUUUUGACCAAUUGGUUUUGAAGACCGUCUUCGAAGAAGGUUAAUGAACAGCAAAAUGAUCCUAGGAGAGGCGGUGGAAUCGUACUAUGGCCGAGUGGCUGAUACACUUAAUAAGUGGCUGAACCACUAAAUACCGGAGGUAUUUAUAUUAUCUAUAUUAAUAAAUGAUUUUCACCCACCAGAGCUAAAAAUGUUUAUGAAAGAAGCUCAACCAGUUAUGGUAUCUGCAUCCCUUGAUAGAGCCAAGGUUUGAGAAGAAUGCCAUUAUGAUCAGUUUUUAACUGCGAGUGCCACGAUGAUACCAGUUCAAAGCAAUUAUCAAUAUCCGGCUUUGAACGGAUCAGUGGAUAGUUAUCUACAGAUGAUCAAAAUAGUAGCCCAUUCAAGUGCCAAUACUCAAGGGCCAGUUAAUAUUACCCCAUUGCAAGCUUUACCACCGCAAUUCACAACAGCGUAUGCUCUAUAUUUUCCAUAUCAAACACAAGAGUCAACUUUGGCAGAAAAACAAAUAAUAUCAACUUCAAAAGAUUCCAAUGAAGCCUUGUUAUUGAACUUGAUGAAGAAAAUGGACGAAAUGGCCGUUAAUAUGGCCAAAGAUAAGGAGAAGAGGCAAAAGCCAACCAAUACUAGGACCAAUGUAUGGUAUAGUAAUUGUCAGGGCCACGGUCAUUUGGUAACAGAAUGUCCGUCACCUUCACAAGUGUUGGAUAAAUGUACAUUUUGUGGAGGCAAGCACUUAACCACUAAUUAUUGGAAUUUGCAAAGACAACAACAAUUCAGUAAUCCGACCAUGAUUCCACCAAUUCCAUGGGAUGUCAAUCAAGUUCAAACAGGAAAUACGUUUGGAUGGCAUGGAAAUCGAUCUAACUGACAAAAUCGAGCAGUCAAUCAUUUUCAGAAUUCCACUUAUAAUCAGGGGUUUGUAUCAAAUCCUCAGAACUAUGGUAAGGAGCAGCAUGGGUAUCAGCCAUAUGCUCCAUCAAUGCCAUUGAACCAAGUACAACCGGGACAACCAGGAUCAUUUUUUCAACCUACAUGGAACAAACCUAGUAGGUAUAUACCAGUGGAGACACCCAAUAUGCAUGAUGGGGGUGCAAAAAGGCCAUUGCGUUGUUUUCGUUGUAGACAGAUUGGUCAUUAUGCCAAUGAAUGUCCCAAUGCAAGAGCCAGUGACGAUUAUGUGUCAGUUUGUGGGAAUUGCAAGCAGUCAGGGCAUACGUAUCAGCAAUGUAAUGCUCCAUUCAAUUUCAAUAAUCGGGAUCAACAGAUCCAGAGUCCAAGAAAAAUGGAUGGGAUAAAUCGAGGUCCUCAAGACUCUCCAGUAAAUUGGGUGGAAUGUGUCCAUACCGUUCUUACUAGGAGUCAGCAAAAAGAGAAGGGCCAAUCACAUCCAAUUACGGAUCCAUCCCAUUCAAGUCCUGACAUUGAAAAAGUCUUGAGCCCUGAUUUGGUUGCAAAGCCCAAUGAGGUCCCAAUUACGGAGUCUUCAAUUUUGUCUCAAGCCAGUCUGUUCCCAUCGCAAUUCUAACAAGCAUCAUAUCCGUUGAAAGAUCCCCUUCAGAAAGGUAGUCCCAAGGAAGCUCAAGCUGUUGUUUCAACUCCAAGUCCAGGGCGGCAGAAUAAUUUACCUCACGGAGUUAAACUCAAACCCAUGAAACGGAAGAGGGCAUUGAAAAUUAUCCUAAAUAUGGAAUCCUACAAUAUUUUAAAGGAUUUGGACGCUAUUCGGCCUUCAAUUUCUAUAAAGCAACUUCUAGCAGUCGCACCAGAGUAUAGUUCCACCUUGAAUUCAUCCCUAAUAAGUCAUCGGCAUCGUAAUAUGGAAGUUUGUGAAGUUAGUUUAAACCUUGAUCUAGGUACACCAACCAUUGAUGUUUCGAUUGAUGGUGUUCUUAUCUCUGGCGUCCAGGUAGAUGGAGGUUCUAGCGUCAAUUUAAUGAACGAUGAUACAAUGGAUGCUUUAGAUUUGGAACAAUUAGUCCCCACGACAUUGGUAUUACGGAUGGCAGAUCAUAGCCGAGUUAAGCCAAUGGGUAUUUUACGGAGUGUUCAAACUAUAAUUGCAGGUAUUACAUAUGAAAUUGACUACAUUGUCUUUCGCUUACAAUGUUCAACUUUAUUGUACCCUAUUUUAUUGGGACGACCUUGGCUGUAUCAAGCAAAGGCCAAGAACGAUUGGGGUUGGGGUACUUUGACAAUUGGUAAGGGUGUAGAUAAAAUGGUGUUACAAAUGUACCCAGUACGCUAUCACGGGGAGUCUCAGUUGCCAGUAUCUGAAUUGACGUUGGACGAAGAGCUUAGCUCCGAGGAUGACACAGAAGUACCGAGUACGGAGGCCAAUGUGGAGGCAGCACAGCACCCUAAGGUGGUGUAUCAAUGUGGAGGUCCAGGGGAGUAGUUGAUAUACCCGAAGGAUUCGGAAAACUCUGCUUAUAUUAGUAUUGACUGGAAACCUUGGCAUGAUGUGCACCAUGUUAGUGCCCUCUAGACGGGAUUUGUUACUUCGCAUAUGUCAGACAUACCAAAUAACUUUAAAUCACUGCAGGAAUUGAAACAGAGUAUUGUUGCUAAACCUGUAUGUCAAACUACUAACUUAGCGACCACGACCAAACCUCGGCUAAUUAAGGUCUACGAAGGUAUUAAGGAACAAGAGUUGACUUGUUGGACAGACUUUUUCUUACAUCAUAAAUCUGCUUUUGCUUGGACUUAUGAUGAUCUACAAGGUAUCCCUGCUGAUGUCUGUGAACAUCGUAUCAUAUUGGAAGAAAACGCUAAACCGGUAUGCUAGAGGCAACAUCGCCUUAAUUCUAAAUAUUUUCUUAUGGUGUAAGAAGAAUUGGACAAGCUUCUUGCGAUGGGUUUCAUUUACCCAGUACCAAAUAGUGAGUGGAUUUCUCCAAUUGUGAUGGUGCCGAAAAAGAAUGAAAAAAUUUAAAUUUGUCAAGAUUUCUGGAAACUUAAUGCAGCCACCAAGAAAGAUUACUUUCCGUUACCAUUCAUGGAUAGUAUAUUGGACGCCGUCGCCAGUCACGAAUGCUAAUCGUUUCUCGAUGGUUUCUCCAGGUAUAAUCAAGUUCAAAUUGCAAAAGAAGACCAGCUCAAGACAACCUUUACUAUGGAUUGGAGCACAUUUGCUUAUCGCGUGAUGCCUUUUGGGUUAUGUAACGCCCCAGCCACGUUCCAACGCGUGAUGACUCAGGCUUUUCAAGACUAUCUCUGGAUAUUUAUGGAGAUCUUUUUAGAUGACUUUUAUACAUUUAGUACUAAACAAGAUCAUCUUCAUUGUUUAGGCAAAUGUUUGGCUCAGUGUGCCAAAUUUGGAAUAUCGUUAAAUCCGCAGAAGUGCCAAUUUGGUGUUCUGUCCGGAAAAUUAUUGGGCCAUAUUUUUUCCAGUUGUGGUAUUGCUACGGAUCCUGACAAAGUGCAGCAUAUCAUGAACUUGCCCAGAUCGGAGACAGUCUCCGGUGUUCGAGGGUUUGUUGGCCAUGUCAGUUAUUAUCGACGAUUUAUAAGUUCGUUUGCGAUUAUUUGUCAAGCUUUAACAAACUUACUGAAGAAACCUCUCUCCGAUGGUACUAGUCCCCUCUGGACCAAGGAGUGUACCAUAGCCUUCAAGGUCUUGAAGUCAAAAUUGGUCUCUGCACGAAUAUUGGUGGCUCCUUGUUGGACAAAGUCAUUUCAUGUAUAUGUUGAUGCAUCCAAUGCUGCUAUUGGCUCGGUGUUAAGCCAGAAUGAUGAUAAGGGAUUAGAUCAUCCCAUAUACUAUGUCAGUCGAUAAUUAGUGGCUGUCGAACGCAACUAUACUACUACUGAACGAGAGGCGUUGGAUAUGAUAUACUCGGUUCAAAAAUUUCGGUACUAUUUGCUUAGGUAUCUAUUUGUAUUUUAUGUGGAUCAUGAUGCUCUCAAAUAUCUGAUUAAUAAGCCUCAAUUGAGUGGGUACAUUGCUCACUGGAUCUUACUCCUCCAGGAGUUCAAUUUUACGGUGGUUGUCAGACUAGGGAAGCAACAUGCGAACGCGGAUCAUUUAUCCCGGUUGUCUGAUAUUCUCGAUAACGAGCCUGUUUCCGAUGAUCUUCCCAACGCUGCAUUAUUUGUGGUGGAUGUGAUAUCCCCCGAGUAUAGCGAAAUUAUUCAGUUUCUGACCUUCUAUACUUUUCCACCGACUUUCACGGACAAGCUUAAGAAGCGCCUUAUUCUGAAGAGUGCCCCAUACACGAUGAUUCGUGAUGCUUUGUAUAAACAAGGCCGAGAUGGUCUUUUACGGUGCUGUAUCUUUCCAAGUGAAGUACAGUCGAUACUUACCGGUUGUCAUUUGGAUAGUUGUGGUGGUCAUUUCGCGGGCGACAGCAUUGCUCGCAAGGCUUUAAUGGCUGGAUAUUGGUGGCCUACAAUGUUUUCUGAUGCCCACUAGUUCAUUCGUCGUUGUGAUCCUUGUCAACGAAUUGGUCGACCUACGGGUAUUUCCGCCAUGCCAUUAGUACUAAUCUUGGCCCAGGUCCUGUUUGAAAAAUGGGAUAUUGAUUUUGUUGGUCCCAUUGCACCUGCGUCAAAACCUGGUCAAAAGUGGUAUAUCUUAGUGGCCACAGAUUAUGUCACCAAAUAGACAGAGGCGAUUGCUACUCGCACCGAUAAUGCCAGUACGGUGGCAACUUUUCUGUAUGAGAAUAUUAUCACUCGCUUUGGGUGUCCCAAGGAAUUGGUCAGCGAUCGAGGCACCCAUUUCAUCAAUGCUACCAUCGCCGCCUUAAUGACCACAUAUGAGAUCAAGCAUCGUAAGACCACUCCCUAUCAUCCUCGUGCCAAUGGACAAACGGAAAAGACCAACGGCAUUUUGUGCAAAGUCUUGAUUAAGACAAUUUCAAGGGCCGGUACUGAUUGGGAGACCAAACUCUUUGCAGCUUUGUGGGCUUAUCGUACCGCCUAUAAAGUAACUACCCACUCUACUCUGUUCUAAUUAGUUUACGGUCAAGAGGCAAUUUUACCUAUCGAAUUGGAGGUUCCCAGUUUACGUAUUACCUUAGACGAACGCCUCAGUGACACCGAGUCAUUACACUCUCGGUUGAUGAAAUUGGAGGAAUUGGAUGAAAUACGGGUUGUCGCUCUAUUCCACAUAGAAGCCACUCAAAAACGGAGGAAGAGUUACUAUGAUAGUAAACUACGGCCAAAGUGUUUUAUGCCUAAUGAUUUGAUAUUGCUGUAUGACAGCCGAUUCAAUCAUUUUUUAGGAAAAUUUCAAGUUUGCUGGCAUGGGCCAUAUCGCGUAAUUGAAGGAUUUUCCAAUGGGUCUGUUCAAUUGGAGGAUUUCACGGGCCAUCGUUUCAGUACCUGCAUUAAUGGGAAUCGUUUACGGUUAUAUAAUACCUAAAACUCGGGACGGGUUUUAUUUCAUUUGAUGGGAGGGAAUUUCGAAUGGACUCAGGAGGGACCUAAUUAUGGUAUAAGGCGUAGAGGCGGCUGCAAGGAUAUUUAGUUAUUACUAUUGUGUCAGAUGCGAAGAAAGUGAGAAAUGGAUAGUAUGGGUACCAUGUUGUCGUUCUCAUCACUAGGUAAUAGAAUAGGAGUAGGGCUCCUAUUAAGGAUUAUUCUGUGGUGUUAUAUUCUGUUGUUGCUUAUUUGUGUUUCAUUUUAGUGUUUCGGACAUACUGGAGAGUCGCAUUGACGGUUAGGACCUGUAAGCGUUUGAGUCAUGGCGAUUGAAAGUACCAAGAGAGCUGUAGACAGAGAUGAAAGUGGCCGGAAUGUGAGAGCUAAACGCAUAGCAAAACCACUGGCUGUGAUAAUCGUUACCAAUAUGGAGCUGAUGAAGUUAGAAAUCUGUUGGACGUAGAGAAAAAUAAGGGAUUUUUGGACUGCAAAGCUGUUCCAGUUUUUUCAAAAUUCAAAGCGUUUAUCAUCAAUUAAUGUGUCAUUAAUGUAGGAAUACAUUGAGAAUUACGACCUCGAGGAUGGAUCGAGUGUCAUUCAAGGGCGAAUUAUCGGGAUUGAUGAAACAAUUCUGGAAAAGGUGUUGUUUCUUCCCAUUGGAGAGAUGGCAGUAGGGACUGAUGAGUCAAGCGAUUUCAGCCCAGAUAGAUAUUUCAAGGGAGGAAUGUCAUCCUUUGAAAGGAGCCAAGGAUGGUGGACUUAGGAGGCGAUUACACCAGAAUAUGUGGAAUGGUUGCGGUUCGUGCUGAGGCGGUUAAGAUUGUACCGACACCCCACAUAUGUGUCAAAACGAUUAUUGUAUGCAGCAGUAGGGGCGUUUGAAGGCAUGGUGUUCAAUUGGACGGCUUACGUAGCUACUCGUAUUCAUGCGGAGAUAGGAGCCAAGUUCAAAUUGGGGAAGUUCACAUCCUUGCUUUGUUCAAAUUAUGUGUAUGUUGUCAUCACGCACACAUUGCGUCAACCAACGUCAGAAGAGAAAAACCCUAUAUCAGUGUCAGCACCUUUGCAGAGAGAACGAAAUUUGUUGGCACAGAAUCACAAUGCAGCGGAUGUAAUAUACGAAAUUGGAGAAUCAAGUCGUACAGUGGUUCAAGGGGUAGCUCCGGUUAUCAAAGCAAGACGGGUUCCAAGUGGUGUUGCGGUGGAAGAGGAGAAUCAAGUCCCAUUAUUGAUAGAUAUCAACCAGUUGGUGUUUCCAGAAGGUUGAUUACCUAAAGGAGUAUCUCUUAAAAAUGUUGUAUUGAAGCACAUUUCGCAAAUAUAUUGUAUGGUACGAGCAUUGGAUGUAGAAGACAGAAGUAAACGGGAUUGGGAGGACAGUAAAAAAAGGAUAUCGGAUCAAAAUCGAAAAAUUAGAGAGCAAAAACUGAGGAUUCAAGAAAUUGAAGAAGCCAAGUUGGUCCUGGAGUGGAAAUUGGUUCUCCAAUAUGAGGCUUGGAUAAAGGAAAAAGAACAGAUUUCACGGAUUGUGGAAGGACAAUGGGAUGAAUUGAUUCAGAAUAGGAAGUCAUGGGAUUUGGAACGGGAGAAGUUCAAAUGCCAGUUGCAAGCGGAAGUGGACAAGACAGAGUUAUUGGGGACAGAGAAAGCGUUAUUGUGUGACCAAUUGAGAUGUGAAACGGAAAAAAUGAGGUCUGAAAUUGAAGUUUUAUAAAAUGAGGUAUCAAAACUGACGGAAGAGUUAACUAUGAGGAGCCAAUCUCAAGUGUCGAUUGAAGAUGUCCUAAAAGGGAUGAGUCCGCAGCAACAUCAGUUGGAACUUCGCUAUUCCCAGAUCUUGAAACUGGAAGCUCAAGUCCGUGAAUUGGGAGAAUACAAUGAAGAUCUUUCAGCCUAGUUGAGAAAGGAGUCGCUUGAAAUAUUAGAAGAGGAUGAAGACGUACCACUAGAGCCAGAAUCGAUGGAACCAAUAACGGAUAAUGUAGUAAUUGAUCAAUUGGGUGUAUCAGAUAAAUAGAAAUUUUGGAGAAGUUUUUUUUAGUUAUAUAUCGGUUCUAUGUUUGUGAGGACGCUGCACAUAUGGGAGUGGGGCUAUGUAGAAUAAGUAGUUAUUUGCUGAAUUAUAGAUACUUAGUUUAUAGUGUAAACAGGGAUAGAUGACUGUUGAAAAGAUAGUUCAGUAGGUAAAAUGGAUGAAUAGUUAAGAAAAGCAGUUUUCAUUAGAGAUGUAGCAGUUGGUAUCUUGUGGUAGCAUAAGGAGGAUGGGAGAGAGGAAGUAAGGGCCAGACUGUGAUAGUAUGAGCUGGGAUAAGCUUAGUGUUGUCUCUUGUUUUUUUGUUUUGUUGUUUAAAGUUCUGAAUACUGUGAAAAGAAUUCAUGGAAUAAAUCAGGGAAAUGAUUUAUGAGAUAUUGGGUGUGUAACUGAAGUAUUGUGUGAUUGAAGGAGAGAAAUUUGGAAGUUGUUAUGAGAUUCUGUGAAGAUUGGUUAUAACUGGAAGAUUAUGAUCGUGGUUAAUUAAAAAUUGUAUGUGUUCGGACCGAGGAAAUCUGGGAAAACAGAAAUUGUGUAAAGUCAGAUUAAUUGAGUAAGAUUGGUUAUUCCUGGUGUUGGAUGGAAUUUAUGUGUUUUGUAUGGACUUUUGAGACAGUGCAAAUUCCAUUUAGUGGCUAUUGGUUAAUGAAAGGGUUUCAUUAGCAGGAAAAAAUCUUGUAGUGUUUCUUCGUUGUUUUAAGUAGUGCGAAAUACAGUUAAUUGUGUGACCCUAACAUAUAAGCUCAUGCGGUAUUCUUUCUCUGUGUUCGAAUUCUCCUAUACAAGUUUAUUCUGAUUAGAUUAGUUAGAGUAAGUAAAAUGACAAUCACAAACCUUAUGACAUUUUGAAGGAUCUGGAUGCUAUUCGGCCUUCUAUUUCUAUGAAGCAACUUCUAGCGAUCGCACCACAGUACCGUUCUACAUUGAAUUCAUCGUUAACAUGGCAUAGGCAACGCAAUAAGGAAAUUUGUGAAGUCAGUUUGAACCUUGAUCCAAGUGCAUCAACCAUCGAUGUUUUGAUUGAUGGUGUUAUGAUCUCGGGUGUUCAGGUGGAUGGUGGUUCCAGCGUCAAUUUAAUGAACGCUGAUACAAUUGAUGCUUUAGAUUUGGAACACUUAGUACCCACAACAUUGAUGUUAAGGAUGGCAGAUCAUAGCCAAGUUAAACUAAUGGAUAUUUUCGGGAGUAUUCAAACUAUAAUUGCUGAUAUUGCAUAUGAAAUUGACUACAUUGUCUUUUGGUUAUAACGUUUAACUUUAUCACAUCCAAUUUUAUUGGGAUGACCGUAGCUUUAUCAAGAAAAGGCCAAGAACAAUUGGGGUCGGGGUACUUUGACAAUUGGUAAGGGCGGAGACAAAAUGGUGUUACAAAUGUAUCCAGUAUACUAUCACAGGGAGUUUCAAUUGCCAGCAUCUGAAUUGAUGUCAGACGAUGAGCUUAGCUCCGAUGAUGAUGUAGUAGCACCGAUUACGGAGGGGUCCAUGGAAGUAGCCCAACACCCUAGAGUGGUGUACGAAUGUGGCGGUCGGAGGGAAUAGAUAUAUAUCCGCCGGAUUUGAAAAACUCUGAUUAUGUUAGUAUUGAUUGGAUGAUUAAGUAUGAUAUGCACCAUAGAAGUGCUUUGGACAUAGGAUUCAGUACUUUGCACAUGUCGGACUUACCAACUAAUUUUUAACUAGUGCAGGGGUUGAAACAAAACAUCGUUGUUGUACCUUUAUGUCAAAAUAUCAACUUGGCAACCACAGCAAAGCCUCGGAAAAUUAAGGUCUACGAAGGUAUUAAGGAAGAGGAGUUGACCUACUGGACAAAAAUUUUCUUACAUCAUAAAUCCACUUUUGCUUGGACUUAUGAAGAUCUAAAAGGUAUCCCCGCUGAAGUUUGUGAGCAUGGUAUUAUUUUAGAGGAGCAUACUAAAUCGAUACGAUAGAGGCAACAUCGCCUUAAUCCUAAAUAUUUCCUCAUGGUGAAGGAGGAAUUCGACAAGCUUCUUGCAGUUGGUUUUAUUUAUCCGGUAUCGAAUAGUGAGUGGGUUUCUCUAAUCAACAGGGUGCCAAAAAGAAUGAGAAAAUCUAAAUUUGUUAGGAUUUCUGAAAACAUAAUGCAGCCACCAAGAAAGAUUAUUUUCCAUUACCUUUCAGGGACAGUAUGGGUAACUUGUUGUCAUUAUCACCAGGUAGUAAAAGAAUACGAGUGAAGUACCAUUUAAAGUCAUUUUGUGGUAUUGUUUUGGGUUGGUUGGAGUGCCAUUUUCUUGUAUUUCUUGCAUUUUUGAGAGUAGUAGUUCUAGUUAAGCGCUUGAUAGAGGGAGCGUCAUGGCAAUUGAAAGUGCAAAGCAAACUAUGGACAAAGAAGACAAUGGCCAAAAUGUGAAAGCUAAAUACGCAUCAAAACCACCUUCUAUGAUAAUCGUUACCAAUAUGGAGCCAAUGAAGUUAGAUAUCUGUUGGACGUUGAGAAGAAUAAGAGACUUUCGGAAUGCUCAAUUGGGCCAAAGAAAAUAGUAACUUUAUAGAGUUUUGUUAAGUAGUUUUUAAAUAAGAAUCAAUUGUGUGUUUGCGAGGAUACUGCACAGAUAAGAGUGGGGCUAUGUAGAAUAGAUAUUAGUUCAUUUCUAUAAGAUAUUGGUAAAAAAGACUAAUAAUCCAUAGAAUAGUCAGUUCAGGAGGACAGAUGAUUGAUUUAGUUAUUAAAAGUAGUUAUAUAUAGAAUUACAAUGUUGUAUGGCAUGAUUUGCUAUUUGGGAAUACAUUGGAUAUCUAGCUGUAGAGAGUGUAGCUUAAAUAUUUAUAUUAUUCUUGUCUUAGCUUCCAAAAUUCCUUUAUUUUUGUAUAAAACUCCAAAUAUAAUAAAAUCCUUUCAAAACAUAUUUUUCCUGGGAAGGAUUUUCAUGCUUCAAACUUUAGAAAAUCAUAACUAUUGAUUUAACUAUUUAGUUUGUUUCAAAUUUAUAAGAUAGGUAGAAUUCAACCUUAACUUUUACCACAAAAAAAACCAACUAUAAAUUCACCUCCGAUCUUUUUACAUCUAAGAAAUCCUAGCAGGCACUCUAAACCCUAAUUUACAAGCAUCCAAAAAACUAUUUUCCUUAUAUCUCAAAAAAAAAAAAAAAAAACUCCAAAUGUCAAAAAAACUUAUGCACAAAGUUUAUUAAUAUGAAAUUACACAUUUCCUGAAAUUUUGAGCCAAAACCUUAUCAAAUUGCUCAAGAUAUAGCUCAAGAGACAACCACUAAUAAAUCGGUUUACUUACUACCCUUAGAUUGCAUGUGCUGACUUCAAAAUCCAAUAACUCCUUCAUGCCAACUUGAAAUCCAGUAAGCAGUAUGUGAAAAGUAUAGCCGCAAAAGUGCUCUCUCCAGUCGCAGUUGGCGAUCUUCAAUUUCUGUCUGUGUGCACGCGUUAUGCCCAAAAGAGUGACAGUAGGUCCAAAACUAACACCUUAACUUUGAGUGCCUAUAACUUCUUCAUAAUAACCCCAAAUGACACAAAACUUGCACCAAAACCAUAGUCAAAAACCUAAACCUUGUGACCCUAGCCUUCAAAAUCCGAAUAGCUUCGAGAAACUAACCCUAAUCCCUAUUAUGGCCUCGGGCAGCCUCCUCAAAGCCCAUUGGUCAUGAUUUUUGACCAAUAGGAAUGGAGAUUUUUAUUUUUCAUCUCCAUUCAUCUAUAUUGGUGCCCUAAUUACUCCCUUUGCUACCAAAAUCCUUCUUCAAUCUUUUUUCUUAUAAGAUUUACAUAAUGUAUGCUCUAAACACCAAAUAAAAGAACCAAAAUAAGUUUUCAAAUAUCACCAAUGUCUAACAAAGGUGACUCUAAAUAUUUAGAAGUUACUAUCAACCAAAACCAAUCUUAAAAGCUACUAUCAAAAAAAAAAUUAAAAUUAUACAAAUUCUAUAGUAAUCUUUUUAAACAACCUCUUCUCAAAGUAAUAAUCAAAUUAUAUUCUACAACCAACUAAAAUCUACUAAUAUGGCUCUCACCAUAUUACUUAAUGAAUUAUAUAUUAAGUACAUAAUUACAUUAUUUUCAUAUAGUAGCCGAACAACAACACGACAAUGAUUAGAAUCUGGAAAUCAGGAAGAAUUAUAUAGGAGUUGUAGAAGUUUGUUGGGGGAACAGAUUGUGAUAGUCAUGAGCCGAGGUAAGCUUGGUGUUAUCUCUUUGUUUCUUUGUUUUCUUUGUUGUUGAAGAGUAAUGGAUAGUUUUUGAAUACUGAGAAGUGAGUCUAUGGAAUAAAUCAAAGAUUGAUUUAUGAGUUAUUGAUUAUGUAAUUGGAGUAUUAAGUGAUUGAAUUAUAUGAGGAGUUAUUGAAAGAUUAUGAUUGUUGUUUAUUGAGAGUUGUGUGUGUUUGGACAAAGGAAGUUGGUGAUUAUAAAAACUCUAUGAAUUCAGAUUGGUUGGAGUGAAAUCUGUUAUUCUUGGUAUUGGAUGGAAAUUAUUAUGUUUUAAGCAGUCUUUCGAGACUGCAAGGUUGCACAUUGUUGUUAUCAGUUGAUGAAGGAGUAUUGUUACUGGGAGAAAACAUCGUAAUGUUUCUUAGUAUUUUAGUGGUUUGAAAUGCAGUUAAUUGUGUGACCUUAAUAAGUAAAACUUAUGCACUUAGUCUUUCCCUGUGUUCGAAUGCCCCUAUACAGGUUUAUUUUGAAAAGAAUUGUAGAAUAAGUAAAACGAUAAUCACAAUAUAUGUAUAUAUUCUUUAUUUUUCUAAUCUAUCUUAUUUUAUCUUGAUUAUGGUCCUAUAAAGUAAGUAGAAGUCCACUUUAUAAAAAGAUAGUAUUUUUGUUUUUAGUUUUACUAUAUUUUGACUAUUAUUUAUAUUUAUAUGAUAAUUUUUUAUAAUAUUUUAAAAUAAGAUCUUCUAUAAUUUAAUAUUUCUUCAUUCUUUCACCUAUUAAAUAUUGUUGUAUUGUAAUACAAUUAUAUGGUGAAAAUAUAAUCAAAAAUAAAUUUCUAAAUAAUAUUUAAUUAUCUUGAUUCAAUAAUAAUUCAAGACAUUUAAAGUUAAGUAAGGUUUUUAUGAUAUUUGUAGAUCUAUUAGCUAGAUUAAGGUAAAAUUUGGCAUAAUAUUAGAAGACUUAAAGAUCAAGCUAUAUAUUAAUUUUGAGCUUAAGUUAAUAGUUAAAGAAGAAAAAUUGCUACUAGAACAUCUCCAUCAACUUUUGAAUUAGAAGUCAAGUGAAAUCAGUGCGAUUUUUUGGAAAUUUUUCACAAUUUGUAAGUUGGAUUGGAAUGAAUUUUUUUAAGUAUGUAGAAGUCUUAUAUUGGUAUUUAUGUAAUUUUUUUUGCAUCAAGUGGAUGGUCAAAUUAAGAGUUAUAACUUCUUGAAGCUCAUUGAUUAGGAUUAGGGCUUGUAAAGAGAAAUCGUAAUUUUCUAAUUAUAAAAGUAAUAAAGCAAUUGGAGUUUAUAUAUAAUUGUAAUUAUUAAGAAGAUUAUUUUUGAGCACUUUAUAUUAGCUUUAAGUACUUUUAAAUUGAAAUUCGAAUUCCAUUAUUUUUAUAUGGAUAAAACCUAUUAGGAUUUCUUAGAUAUUUCUAAAACAUAAUUUUAUCUUUCACAGUUAGGUGUCUAGUGCAUUCUCAAAUAAGACAAUACAUAAUAUGAUAUCAUAUUAUAAGAAGAUAUUAUAAUCUUAACUUUUCUUGUGGUUUCAUCUAAAAUUCUAAUAGUCAAGUAAAAAUACAUAAAUCUAAUAUAUACAAAUGCUUACUAAUAGGUGCAAAAGCUUUCAUUACUACAACAAAAGAAUGAUCAUUUUUUUAUUUUAUAUAUAUCAUUUUUAUUUUUAAUAAUAAAAAGAUACCAAGUAGUAUUCAUAGCUAGUAUCAAGAUUUUUAAGCUAUUUUUGAAAAAAAAAAAAAUAAUAAUACAAAUAUUCUUCCAAAGCAUUCAUCCUAAGAUUAUUCAAUUGAUUUUCAAGAAGGAACUCAACCACUAUUUGAAUCAAUCUAUAGCUUAUUGCCACAAACAUAUAUAUUUAUUCCAAUAAUUACUUAUAUGAUUAGGUAGAAGUAGGUAAAUAUAGAUCAAUUUCAUCAAUUCUUUUAGAGUAACUUUUUAGAAGCUUUAUAGACAUAGUUUUGACUUUAGAUGUAUUUGUAGGUUAGAAACUUAGCCAACAACUUAACCACAUAUUGGUAGCUUGUGGAACAAGUUAACUCCAUAUAGUAGCUUGUGAAAUAAGCUAAUUAUGUGGUACAUACAUGGAUAACUUAUCUUGCAAGUUAAGACAUGUGGCUAGCAAAGUCAACACAUAUUUCUAAUUAGGUUGCUUUAUAAUUAUUUCUAUUCAAAGAUCCACGUAUAUCACAAAUAUAGUAUUGUGAUAUGUAUUCAUAUUGAUAAGUCCAUCCAAUAGUCCACAAUAGUGAUGUUGAUUUUAAAAUAAAAAUAAAUCAAUCAACCAUAAAUAUUUCUAUAUCUCCUCUAUUCUCAUAAAAAAUCAAGAAGAAUGUAUUGAAAAUUUCCUUAUAUAAGAUUCUAUUGCACAUGAUGAUAAUUGAAAACUUAUAAGGAGCAAAAUGAAGUCAAAUUGAGUUAUUUUUCUUUCAAGGGCUUUCUGCAAAGUGACAAUUUUUAAAAUCAUAAUAUACUUUAAAAUAUUAAGCAUUCCAUUGAGUUCACAAAUACUCUAUCAAGCAUGACAACUUAAUACUAUUAACAAUAAAUAAGGAGAUAUGUAGUAAUAUAUAGCCUUGACAUACUAUCAUAUAUGAUGUUGAUUACAUUGUACAAAGUAAGAAAAAGAGGUUUAAUUAUGAAUAUUAAAUCAAAUAAGAGAAUAAAAAGAUUUCAAAUAUCUACUUGAUUUAAUUAAAAAUAGGAUAAUAUAAAACAAAACUUAAAGAAGAAACCUAAUAAAGUAAAUUAUUUCACAAAAUUAAAAACAGAAGAUUUAUAGAAAGAAAAAUUUAUGCAUCAUGUACUUUCGUAUUUGAAAGUAAUAUAAUAUAUAAAAAUAAUAUAAAAUAUUAUAAAAUUUUAGAUUUUAAUUAAAAAUAAAAUAAAAUAAAAUAAAAUAUUUAUCUAAUUUAUUUAAGUUUAUAGUUUAAAUUUUGUAAUUAAAGUUAGAAAUUGUAAGAUUUAAGAAGAAAGAAUUUAAAGUGGCUUUGAUGUCAAAAAUAUAAUAUUUUGAUUCCUAAGCCAUUCCAUGUGGAUAGAUAAGGUGAGUGAUAGAGGACUUUAUUUCGAUUGGUUGAAAGUUAUGUUCAAUGGGCUUUGAGAUGUUACUUGGGACCACACUAGAAUUUGGGACCACUUUAGGGCAACUCAUUUGAGGCAAGGCAAUCUAUUUGAAGUUUAGAGUUUGGAUUCAAAAAGCUUGUAUUUUGGACUAAAAGUUAGAUUUAAAAAAAUAUAUGAUUUAGAGUUUUAAUGAGAGAGAUAUGGUUAUUUACGGAUGUAAGUUUGAUACCUACUAUUAUUCUUUUAAGUAUAAGAGAGUUGUAAGAAGGCAUUCAAUAAUCAAAAAGUAAAAUUUGAAAUUUGAAUUGAAGAAUUACAUUAAAUAUAAAGAAAUUAAUAUAUAUCAAUUUGAAAUAAAGAAAAAAGAACUCUAGAAAGUUAAUACUUAAAAAUUAGAAUUUGUAAGUAAAUUCUUUUCAUAGAGGUUUUGAUUUGAGCCAUAUCUUGAGUUUUUGAAUGAAAUUUUGGCUCAAAAUUUCCAUAAGUAUACAAGACUAUGUUAAGAAGUUUUAUAUAAAAAAUUUAUAGUAUUUGAAUGUUGGAUUUUUGAGAUAUGGUGGAUUUAGUGCUCAGAUGCUUAAAAUUUGACAUGUUUAGCACCUACUAGAAAUGAGGCAAUAUCUUAAGACUUGUAAUGAAUUUAUUGUUGAUUUUUGUGUAAAAAUAGUCAAGUAUAUGAGUUAACUUGCAGAGAAUUUUGAAUCCCCUUAGAUAGUUAGAUUGUAAGUUAUUAUGUGUUGCAUAUAUGGAAAGAAUCUCUAUAGGAGUAGAAGUGAUGUUAAGAUAUCUAGUCACAUAUUAGGUACUUUUAUGCAUCAUAAACUUCUAUACUUGAUAUAAUUGUCUUCUUGAAGACAAGCUAUAAAUAAUAUUUGUGUUUUAAAAACUUGUUUGAGCAAUUAGUAGUAGCUAAAGGCCUAGCACUUUCUUGAAACAAACUCUCUUUACAACAACAAUGCUCUACUACUAUGUUUUCUACAAUAGAAAAGAAGUAGAACUUUAGAACUGUUCAAGCUCUGUUUGUAAAGGUGAUUACAUCAUGAUAAGAAAUUACCUCACAAAUGGUAUGAACUCCCUGCAUUCUUGAAUGUGCAUCUUAAAAAAGCAACACUGGUCAAAGGGAGACAUAUCCAUAAUAGAUUUGAGUGAAUUGAGUCGCAGCAAGUCCACAAAUUCUCUGUAUGGUCCAAAGAAUCUUGGUGACAUGUACUAGCAAAACCAUCCGUAUGGGCAGCAUCACCAUCCCUCACAAUACUCGCUGCUUCAAUCGAAGCCACUGGGGCUGCAGCUGUCAAGGUAACCCAGAUUUCGGACUCUUUUGCUAGGAAGCUCAACGGUUCAUGUAAAACUCAAUGCGCAGUGAAUUGCCAAUUUUGGUUUACAUCAUAAAUAUAACAUUCAUGUCACUCUCACGUAUAAUCAGGUGAAAGAGACGCACAUUUUUGUUUGAAAUCUCCUAGGGCUGAAAGCGGAUCAAUGGAUAAGUUGUAUACUAGAUCAAGGCCAUUGACAAUGAAAACAAAGGUACAAUAUUCACACAAGAAGUCUUGGCAAUAUGAUUCGUUCAUAAGGCCAAACAGUCGCAUUCGGCAUCAACAUCGUCAUCUUCUGGACACCUGUCCUGUGUAGACUGCGAAAAGCAUCAUCAUCAGCACAAAAGAACUAGAAUAACCACUCACCUACAAAUUUAUGUCCUUGACAAAAUGUGUACUUCUGAUGAAGAAACGGUCGUGCUCCUUUACCUUGAUAUAGUUCAUACUUAGUUAGGAGCUGUGCAUUGCGAUGAGUUUCUGCAUCAAAUCGUUCUUUCAGUUCCACUUCGUGGAACAAUGUUCUUCUUAACAUCAUUGUGAUAUAUUCCAAUAUGGUUUGGACUUACUCUUUUCUCCGCUCCAGCUGAACAAAACGAACAGAAGUACGUAUAUUACUGAACAAACAGGCAUGAUGAACCACACAAGGCCGAAAAGUAGUAUACAUGAGAAUCACUGUAUUCAAGCCUACUAUCUCUUUGAUACUUUGGUAUCUCUCGAUGGACUGAAAAAUUUAUAUCUCCGUACCUGGUCUGAUUCUUGUGUAAACUCUAGUCAAAAUUGUUUUGAAAAACUGAAAUUAGCAUACCUCUUCUCGUUCCGCAUCUUUCGCAACUUCGGCUCUUUACAGUUAGAAAUGACUAAGAGGCUGCAAUUCUAUCCAAACUUAGUAUGGGUGGAAACACCUGUUUAACAUGGAAACAACUUUACACAAUUACAUGCAACGUCAACGGGCCUUCGAGUACUCACCAGCACCUACUAUGCACACGGUGCUAUUCUUCAAGCCAAAAUGAUCUACUAAGAUCAGUUGCCAUCAUAUAAUAAAACACGCCAAGGCUACAAAACACGCAUCGCACAGCCAUCGACAAUAUCACAUAGGACUAAAGUAAAAUCUACCAUAUGAUCACCUCCUCAGCAAACACCAUGCAUCUUGUCCAUGGAGUCAAAUCUUCUAGUCCACACUUUCUUCGCCCUCUCAAUAGAGCCGUCGUUUAAGUCACUUCAUUACUUACGACAUACGUCAUGCCUGACAACAAAUCUGUGGUGAUAAAACACACAACAGCAGGCAGAUUACACUGCUGCUCCUGUGGGCAUUAUGGUUACAGUCAGUUCACUAUUUCUUGGAAGAAUAUAAGUGGGCAGAUUUCUAAGUUCCACGGCAAAAAUCAUAGAAAAUGUGCUGACAUCUCUCACAAGAAAGGAAAUGGACGCAAGAGAGUGAAGUAUUUCAGGUUGAAAUUAUGCAGACAUGUUCGAUUCUGCCAGAUAUGUAAAAAGUUCAUGUAAAGAAUAAUCAAUAAGCAAGAAUCGUGUUCGGGCAUGUCUACAACUAACUUGUCAGAGAAAUAUCAUGCGAUACGGUGCAAUAACUGUCCCUUGAAAUGAGAUUGUCACAGAGAUACGUGUUCCAGACCAUACAUUGCAUACAUAGUUCACGAUCCGGGCAUGAUCAUCAAAGCCACGAGGUAAUCAAGCGGAGCAGACGACACAAAAGGAGCAUCCUUGCGAUAAUGCGCAACUAUAAUUUCCUCGCUGUAUGUACUUUUCAAAUCAAUCAUAGCAACGAGUAACUGCACAUAAAAUUUCAAAAGUAAUAAAAAUACUUCCCUCACGGUAAAAGUCCUGAAAUUUCUGUAUGGUGAGAGGGAAAACAAAUUCUUCGUUUCAAUUGGAAAUGAAUAAUCCGAUAGCUUAGAUCUAAGAGUGCAAAUAUAAGCACAGAAACUACCCUAAAGACUUAAUACAUUUUCAUGAGUACUUCGGCUACAGUUACGAUCGCCUAGAAAACUGCAUCGUGCAACUCCAGGUUCUCGUUCCCACUCCAGUCACCCGCUGCAGCUCACCGCCACAAAAGUCCACUUUACGAUCUUCAUGGAUCGUUAUUACAUCUGAGAAAUACUCUUCAUUACCUCUGUAAAAAGCACCUCGCCCUCUAGUUCUUCCUAAAACCCAAUCCAUCGGCCAUUCCCCUGUUCGCCAACACGGAGACGCUCCGCUUCACGUCGACCGAAAUCUUUCCAUCAGAUCCAACAACAACAGCUUUCUCCUUCCUCCAUCUUACAACAACUUAGCAGCAACGAAGGCAACGACGCAGCCAACAACCGGCGCAACCAUGGUUGGCACGACUGAGCCGACGCCGGAAUCCUGCCCUGCGGGAGCAGGGGCCUGGGCCUGGGCCAUGGCAGAGGAUGCCAUGGUAGAAACUACGACAACAGCAACGACGGCAGCCCUCUUCACAGCUGAGAAAGCCAUUUCAAAAACUCUGCAGAAUCAAGCACCUAAUCGAUGAAGCUUUAAAGAAUGAGUGCUGCGGAAAGCGGAAAUCGAGUAAGCGAAGUGCAGAAGUUUGAAGCUCGAUCAAUGCACGAGUGCAGCGGAAGACGGCAGAGAGAUGUCAGAGAGACGCUCGAUAGAUCUCGGUGCUGCUGAGCAAUACAGUACGCGAGAAGGGAAUCAGCGACGAAGUGAGAAUGCCAAGUGCUUGGGUAGAGAGAGGCUUUAGUAAACAGGGAGUGGGGGGGGGGGGGGGGGGGGGGACGGGUUUCGGGCGCGAGGAUCCGAGCCCAUUUGAUGCCGCAGUUACCAGGUGGGAAGGGGAAGGGGAAGAGCCAGAUCCCCCACACCCGCGGGGGGCUUAGCAAGCCGCCUCCCAUCCUCGCCCGUUCCGGAUCCUUUUCCCCACAAUCGGCAUUCUUUUG
rnacentral:lncRNA from 1 species